AUGUAAAAGCCACAUCUUGAUGUCCUGUUUUCCGACAAUAACCCAUUGGUGACACAAGGAGGAAAUGGAAGAAAAGGAAGUCAAUAGUUAAGUUCUCAAUUUAGAUGAUCUUUAGAGCCAUAUAAAGACACCAGAUAAACGAGUGAGAAAGUGACGAGGCAACCUACAGCUCAAAUGAAGGAUAUAAGAAGUGAUGAGUUUUGAACAUGUAUUAGAGUCCAUGCAGUUGCACUUGCUGGAGGGUGAUUUCUAGCAGGAUGAGGAAGUGGAUCAGCAGAUGAACUUGAUCACAUUAUCUUUUCUCUGUGAUUUGAAAGGGAUUGUUCUAACUCAAAGAGCGAAGAAUGAUCCAACUUGUAACAGAUCAAGGGAUAGCAAUUUCAGUGAACAGGCAAGCACAUUACAUACAAGUAUAAAGAAGAGAAAAAGAAAAGAAAAGUAGGUUUCUAUCUAGUAGCUCUUGAUAACGCC
rnacentral:sRNA from 1 species